UACGGAGGGGGCUAGCGUUGUUCGGAAUUACUGGGCGUAAAGCGCGCGUAGGCGGCUUUGUAAGUUAGAGGUGAAAGCCCGAAGCUCAACUUCGGAAUUGCCUUUAAGACUGCAUCGCUAGAAUCGUGGAGAGGUGAGUGGAAUUCCGAGUGUAGAGGUGAAAUUCGUAGAUAUUCGGAAGAACACCAGUGGCGAAGGCGACUCACUGGACACGUAUUGACGCUGAGGUGCGAAAGCGUGGGGAGCAAACGGG
rnacentral:rRNA from 1 species